CAGUAACCUCAAGCAAAGAGACCUCUAGUUUGAACCCCCGAAACCGGACGAGCUACUCCGGGGCAGCCUAUUAUAGGGCCAACCCGUCUCUGUGGCAAAAGAGUGGGAAGACCCCCGAGUAGAGGUGAAAGACCUACCGAGUCAGGUUAUAGCUGGUUGCCCAAGAAAUGAAUAGAAGUUCAGCCCCACCGCGCCCUUACCCACAACAGUUUUACUUAAACAAGGCAUAAAGGACACCCGCGGGAGUUAGUCAAGGGAGGUACAGCUCCCUUAACAAAGGACACAACCUUAAACGGGAGGCUAAGGAAUAUAUUAAACUAAGGCCCUGGGUUUCAGUGG
rnacentral:rRNA from 1 species